rnacentral:rRNA from 1 species
UACGUAGGUGGCUAGCGUUGUCCGGAUUUACUGGGCGUAAAGCGCGCGUAGGCGGCUUUGCAAGUCGGGUGUGAAAUCCCCAGGCUUAACCUGGGAACUGCAUUCGAGACUGCAUUGCUAGAGUAUGGGAGAGGGAAGUGGAAUUUCCGGUGUAGCGGUGAAAUGCGGUAGAUAUCGGAAGGAACAUCAGUGGCGAAAGCGACUUCCUGGACCAAUACUGACGCUCAUGUGCGAAAGCGUGGGGAGCAAACAGGG